CUGAUAACCAAAGAGGAAGUCCUGGUUCCCCAGUGGCCUGCAACAGAUCUUGGAGGAUUUUAUCAGUCAAGCAAAGUCAACAACAGACUGACUCCCAUCUCAGAGGCUCUGACCUCACCUCUGCUCACCUCUCUAUGAUCUCCAGUGACUUCAAGACCCACUUGGGUCAAUACCUUCCUGUGAGUUCUGGACCUCAGAAGCAUCCUUUGCUGGUGUUCUCAGAACACAAUUGGAAGCUAUGGUCCUAUUUAGGCUUCAAGACUCCAGCCCACUAUAGAAGACUUCUGCCUUGAAAUGUACUCUCUCUCUCCCUUGUGACUUCUGAAAGUUCAACCAUCCCUACUUCCUGGGAUCCAGUUCCUCAGUCUCUGCCUAGAGAUCAGUCUUCAUUCUGUUCCCUUCAGUGUAAGGUGCUCACCAGUCCACUCUGU